rnacentral:rRNA from 1 species
UACAGAGGGUGCAAGCGUUGUUCGGAAUCAUUGGGCGUAAAGCGCACGUAGGCGGCUUUGCAAGUCGGGUGUGAAAGCCUGGGGCUCAACCCCAGAAGUGCAUUCGAAACUGCAGAGCUUGAGUCUUGGAGAGGGUGGUGGAAUUCCGAGUGUAGAGGUGAAAUUCGUAGAUAUUCGGAAGAACACCAGUGGCGAAGGCGGCUCACUGGCCUGGUAUUGACGCUGAGGUGCGAAAGCGUGGGGAGCAAACAGG